rnacentral:ncRNA from 1 species
AACUAGCAUAGGAAUUCAGUUUAAAGAAAGUUUUGUAAACAGUGUAUUUAUUUACCGUUUUUCUCUCAUAUAAGAGUAUAAAAGUUAUUUUGAAAGUACAGUCAUUGAUAGGCAGAUAGUAUUUCACAUAAAAUUCUGCAAUAUGUGUUUGCAAAGAGUUCUUUGAUCCUCUGGGGACAAGUACUUUUAUCAGACCAAAACCAGUCUGACCUCUUGUGUGUUGGUUAAUCUCUGUAACUUAGGGCUGAUUGCACAGGCUCAUCCUGGCAAUGUAUCUUUUGAAUGUCUGCCUUAUCAACUGUCAAUGGUAGGUUACAUACCUACCAUGGUCAUAAUCAGCGACAAGGAAUCAGUGUUCGAUUCCAGAGAGGGAGCCUGAGAAAUGGCUUCCAUAUCCAAGGAAGGCAGCAGGCAUGCAAACUACCUACUCCUAGAAUGGGUAAGUAGUGACAAAAAAUAACAAAACAGGAAUCUUUUGAGACCUGGUAAAUGGAGUGAGUACACUCUAAAUCGUUUAACAAGUAUCAAUUGGAAGGCAAGUCUGAUGCCAACAACUGCCGUAAUUCCAGCUCCAAUAGCAUAUAUUAAAUUUGUUGUAGUCAAAAAGCUUGUAGCACCUUUAUUUAAGCACUGCAGCUGUUUUCAGCACACUAUUUUUUUCAAAGUAAGCUUGUCUUUCACCCAAGAUAGCCAGUGAACAUCACCAAAGGAAACUGGCUGGCUGCUCAGAACAAGCAGUAACCAGGAGUAGGUGGAAUACCUGUCUUGAACUGGGAUCAAACUGCAAGCUUUUUAACCACAAUAACUUUAAUAUAUGCUACUGGAGCAGGAAUUACUGUGGCUGCUGGCACUAGAUUUGCACUCUAAUUAUCUCCGUUAACAGAUUUUGAGUGCUUUCUUUCCAUUUA